GGCUGCUUCCUGCUGCCUGCUGAUGUGGACAAGCUCUGGACUGAGCCACCAGUAAGAUUCUCUGCCAUCUCUUGUCUCGAAACCACUCCUUCUCCAAGGAGGUCUGAACCCCAGUCUUAGAUGAUGAAGCUUUACAAAGAGCAUUUCAACACUCAUGUGACCAUUCAGGAUGAUUUUCCAUGUAACCUCCAGGAGAGCUGGGACCUUACCUGUCUUGUUCCUUACUGUAUUUCCUGCUUCUAGAAUGGUGUCUGGUACAGCGUAUGUAACCAAUGAACACUGUUGACUGCAAAAAGGAAGAAAAAAACUUUUUAAGAGUCCCUCUGUUUAUCUGGAUCUUCUGAUUACAUCAUGCUGCAACUUUUAUUUAACACAGCAUAAAUAAUAGCUACUAUUUAUAUUUUCGAAUGUUAUAUUUUCACGUGUUACAUUUUCAAAUGUUCUGUUAGACCUGUUUCAAAUCUUAUUUCAUUUAAUCUUUGCAACAAUCCUAGGUGUUGGUGUAAUAUCCUUGUUUUUCUGAUGCAGAAGCUGAGGCUCAGAGAAUUGAAGCGUUUCAAACAAGUGGCAAAGCAGCGUUCAAACCCAUGCUUGUCCGACUGGAAAGUAAUCAAACCUAAAGACUCAUGAGAGGAAAGGAGAAACCGUUGAGCUGCAGACUCAAGCCUGAUAGGCCAGGAGGAGCUGAUGUCAAGUUUUGGAUUCGGCCCUGCAACUGUGCAGGAGGCCUGGACCUGUAGGCAAUGGGCUCGGGGCUGAUCCAUUCAGGCUAUGAAUCAGGAUCUUAAGAAGAAUUGAAAACAGGACCCAUGACCCUAGUCUUGUUCUCUGUUCCGACUGCUAACUGCUGACUGCCAUCAGCUCCCCACGCUGUGACUAUGGAGAGCUGUGUAAAUGCUGACUGACAAACAGGCUGAGAGAUAAUUGGACAUCAUUUCUGGCUGGCAGACUUUUUUGACUCUUUUCAAGGCUAGUAAAACUUUUCUGCCUUGAUUCUUACAUCCUGGCCAUUCUUAGAGAAGGGAGGUGGGACUCAGAGGAGGGUCAAACAGUUGUUCACUUCAGGUUCAAGGACGUUUCCAGUCCAUCCAGGGAGCACCAGGAGGAGAAGGUUCAGGAGUGGUGGCACUGGUCAAGUCAGCUGCCACGGAUCCUGGCCAUGGUCACGGGCAUCAGGCACAUUCGUGACCACCCCUGGUGGGCAGGCAGCAUCCUCCACAGACUCUCUCCCUCACGCCCACUCUCUUUCCUCGCCCACCUCAAGCCCUCAGUCCUUAUGUUACCACCAUCCCUUCCUGCUAGGCUGUCUCCUGAAUUACACUGUGCUAAGAGUCUCUUCCCCAGCCUAGAGUUCUACUGCAAGAGCCACUUCCAGGACUGGAGCAUCAGAAAGGGUAGUGUCUGCUGUGUUUUUUUAAAAAAAAAUUUUUAUUCUUAUACAAUUUUUAAAGGUUACUUUCCAUUUACAGUUAUUAAAAAAUAUUGGCUAUACUCCCCAUGUUUUUCCAUCCAUCCUUGAGUCUAUCUUACACCCAAUAGCUCCUACCUCCCACUCCCCCGCCCCUAUGUUCCCCCCACCACUGGUAACAAGUUUGUUCUCUAGAUCUGUGAGUCUGCUUCUUUUUUUCUAUAUUUACUAGUUUGUUGUAUUUUUUAGAUUCCACAUAUAAACGAUACCACACAGUA